rnacentral:rRNA from 1 species
GAUGAACGCUGACAGAAUGCUUAACACAUGCAAGUCUUUGGCGAAGCUGUGCUUGCACAGCCUAGCCAAGGCGGACGGGUGAGUAACGCGUAAGGAACUUGCCCUGCAGUCAGGGAUAACUGACGGAAACGACUGAUAAGACCUGGUAAAGUCAGGCGGACUCAUGUCCAGCCUGAUGAAAAGUGAUGCUGCAGGAGAGCCUUGCGUCCUAUUAGCUUGUUGGUGGGGUAACGGCCCACCAAGGCGAUGAUAGGUAGCCGGCCUGAGAGGGUGGACGGCCACAAGGGGACUGAGAUACGGCCCUUACUCCUACGGGAGGCAGCAGUGGGGAAUAUUGGACAAUGGGGGCAACCCUGAUCCAGCAAUUCUGUGUGCACGAUGAAGGUUUUCGGAUUGUAAAGUGCUUUCAGCAGGGAAGAAAAAAAUGACGGUACCUGCAGAAGAAGCGACGGCUAAAUACGUG